UCUAGUAGUCGCGUUCGUAAGGCGCAUUUCUCGAGGGUUAGCGCCGCGACCGAUGCGAACGGCCGACGACGCCGUCGAGUUGAGGUCGAACGCCCUUCGCGGGUAUUCGUAACCAGCUCGUUCGGUUUCGAUCGUUGGAUCUUAAUAAAAGGCAUCGAGCGAAUACUUAAUAAAUACGUCGGCGUAAAACGCUCGACGAGCGGCGGAGACUCGGCCAGUCGUUCGAUACCUGCUCGCAGGUGCUCGUUCGGCGCGAGGUCGUUUCCCGAUGUCGCCGUCGACGCUACCGACGUUUAGGCGUCCGCGGCGUCCGAGUCGGCCACCCGUCCGACCCGUCUUGAAACACGGACCAAGGAGUCUAACGUACGCGCGAGUUAAUGGGCGGAAAACCCAUAAGCGCAAUAAAAGUAAAAGUCGUCCCAAGACGGCCGAGGUACGAUCCUAGACUACGCGUCUAGGCGCAGUACCGUCCCGUCCCGACCGCACGUCGGUAGGGCGGAGAUUGAGCGCAUACGUUGGGACCCGAAAGAUGGUGAACUAUGCCUGAGCAGAGCGAAGCCAGAGGAAACUCUGGUGGAGG
rnacentral:rRNA from 1 species